CGGGUGAGUAAUAUAUCGGAACGUGCCCAGUCGUGGGGGAUAACGUAGAGAAAUUUACGCUAAUACCGCAUACGAUCUAAGGAUGAAAGCGGGGGACCGUAAGGCCUCGCGCGAUUGGAGCGGCUGAUAUCAGAUUAGGUUGUUGGUGAGGUAAAAGCUCACCAAGCCGACGAUCUGUAGCUGGUUUGAGAGAACGACCAGCCACACUGGGACUGAGACACGGCCCAG
rnacentral:rRNA from 1 species